CAGAAACUUCCAGAAUAAAACAGAGAAAACACAAACUAAGAAGUAAAAUCUUCAUCUCUGCAAGGUUCUUUAUUCCAUUCUUAUCUUCAUGUUCUGUCCCCAUCAGCCCUAUAAUCCGUCACAUUUACUGCUCCUACCUCAGUCUCACAUCCCACUCCUGUUUGUCACUAAAUGUUAUUUUUCGUGUCAUCGUUUCCCCAGAGAGAAGACACUAUUGACAUGAUGUUCGAAACAAAACAUCUUCUGUCUACAAUGUCGAUGACAACACUGUACCCUUGAUUUCAGUCUCUUCUUUGGCAAAAUGAACCAGGAUUCAUCUGGCAUUUUGACACACUAAAUGUAGCCCUCUUUUGGGAGGUCUCUUGGACCUGGCUCACAGAAACUCCUGAGGCAUUGUUUGACAGAUGUUCCUCUGACCCAGGCAUGCUUCCCAGAGAUGUCAUCCUUCGAGAGCCGGUAGUCAAUGAAGGAUACCCUCAGUUUUUGCUGUCCUGGGGAUGAUGAAAAGAGGUAUUCUCACCUCAUAAACCCCUCCAUGGGUCAAGACAUCUAUUUGCCACAUGUUCACUCAAAUGCUAAAUUCUUCCCUGAUGCAUUUGACAGACUGAAGACAGCUAAGUGACAGGGAAUGGUACCAGUAAGUUUCAUGUAUGAUAAUUGUUUAUUCAUCUUCAAAAUACAUUCUAUUUAGACCCAUAUUGGAACAAAGGCAUGAUGUGUUGAAAGCUGAUAACAUACACACAGGACAAAAAGGAAAGGAACAUCCCCUCAGCAUAUGUCAGUGUUCAAAUACUUCUGCCAGGACAUAAAGACUCCUUUUUGUUUAAAAUUUAAUAUGUGCUUUAAAUAUUUGUGGUAUCUAGUCUCCCACUCCAGAUUCGAGAAACUCUUUUAAAUAUUUAUUACCAUCUUGGCUACUCUACUAAAUCCUGGAAUUGGUGUUUAAAAUUCAUGUACUUAUAAAUUAAGAUUAUACAUUUAUUGUCAUUCAAAAAUCAAUAGCUCAAUUUUUAAAAUUAACCUAAGUUCCAUACCAGUGGGAAUCCCCUUUAUCUUUCCAAUUAUUUUGGAUAUGGAGAUUUCAUUUGUGUCAAGCAAGGUGGUUUCUGCAUGGUUAUUGAAAUACACUGACCCCAGAUAUAUGUUGAAUGGCACAAAUCCUGUUUAGUAGGUAUUUUAUAGUUCUCCUAAGGUGCUUACAACCCUUCCCCUCUUAAAUAUACAAGUAAAUAAAAU
rnacentral:lncRNA from 1 species